rnacentral:piRNA from 1 species
UCGGAGUCACCAAGGUGCUUGCCCACUGCA